rnacentral:rRNA from 1 species
UAGAGUUUGAUCCUGGCUCAGGACGAACGCUGGCGGCGUGCCUAAUACAUGCAAGUCGAGCGCGGGAAGCAAACAGAUCUCCCUCGGGAGUGACGUUUGUGGAACGAGCGGCGGAUGGGUGAGUAUCACGUGGGCAACCUGCCUGUAAGAUCGGGAUAACUCGCGGAAACGUGAGCUAAUACCGGAUGAAGUCUUACGCCACCUGGCGUAAGGAUGAAAGAUGGCCUUUGUGCUAUCACUUACAGAUGGGCCCGCGGCGCAUUAGCUAGUUGGUAGGGUAAUGGUCUACCAAGGCGACGAUGCGUAGCCGACCUGAGAGGGUGAUCGGCCACACUGGGACUGAGACACGGCCCAGACUCCUACGGGAGGCAGCAGUAGGGAAUCUUCCGCAAUGGACGAAAGUCUGACGGAGCAACGCCGCGUGAGUGAUGAAGGUCUUCGGAUCGUAAAACUCUGUUGUCAGGGAAGAACAAGUGACGUUCGAAUAGGGCGUGACCUUGACGGUACCUGACCAGAAAGCCCCGGCUAACUACGUGCCAGCAGCCGCGGUAAUACGUAGGGGGCAAGCGUUGUCCGGAAUUAUUGGGCGUAAAGCGCGCGCAGGCGGUCCUUUAAGUCUGAUGUGAAAGCCCACGGCUUAACCGUGGAGGGUCAUUGGAAACUGAGGGACUUGAGUACAGAAGAGGAGAGUGGAAUUCCACGUGUAGCGGUGAAAUGCGUAGAGAUGUGGAGGAACACCAGUGGCGAAGGCGACUCUCUGGUCUGUAACUGACGCUGAGGUGCGAAAGCGUGGGUAGCAAACAGGAUUAGAUACCCUGGUAGUCC